UAGACCCGAAACCCGGUGAUCUAGCCAUGGGCAGGUUGAAGGUUGGGUAACACUAACUGGAGGACCGAACCGACUAAUGUUGAAAAAUUAGCGGAUGACUUGUGGCUGGGGGUGAAAGGCCAAUCAAACCGGGAGAUAGCUGGUUCUCCCCGAAAGCUAUUUAGGUAGCGCCUCGUGAAUUCAUCUCCGGGGGUAGAGCACUGUUUCGGCAAGGGGGUCAUCCCGACUUACCAACCCGAUGCAAACUGCGAAUACCGGAGAAUGUUAUCACGGGAGACACACGGCGGGUGCUAACGUCCGUCGUGAAGAGGGAAACAACCCAGACCGCCAGCUAAGGUCCCAAAGUCAUGGUUAAGUGGGAAACGAUGUGGGAAGGCCCAGACAGCCAGGAUGUUGGCUUAGAAGCAGCCAUCAUUUAAAGAAAGCGUAAUAGCUCACUGGUCGAGUCGGCCUGCGCGGAAGAUGUAACGGGGCUAAACCAUGCACCGAAGCUGCGGCAGCGACGCUGAUGCGUUGUUGGGUAGGGGAGCGUUCUGUAAGCCUGUGAAGGUGUGCUGUGAGGCAUGCUGGAGGUAUCAGAAGUGCGAAUGCUGACAUAAGUAACGAUAAAGCGGGUGAAAAGCCCGCUCGCCGGAAGACCAAGGGUUCCUGUCCAACGUUAAUCGGGGCAGGGUGAGUCGACCCCUAAGGCGAGGCCGAAAGGCGUAGUCGAUGGGAAACAGGUUAAUAUUCCUGUACUUGGUGUUACUGCGAAGGGGGGACGGAGAAGGCUAUGUUGGCCGGGUGACGGUUGUCCCGGUUUAAGCGUGUAGGCUGGUUUUCCAGGCAAAUCCGGAAAAUCAAGGCUGAGGCGUGAUGACGAGGCACUACGGUGCUGAAGCAACAAAUGCCCUGCUUCCAGGAAAAGCCUCUAAGCAUCAGGUAACAUCAAAUCGUACCCCAAACCGACACAGGUGGUCAGGUAGAGAAUACCAAGGCGCUUGAGAGAACUCGGGUGAAGGAACUAGGCAAAAUGGUGCCGUAACUUCGGGAGAAGGCACGCUGAUAUGUAGGUGAAGUCCCUCGCGGAUGGAGCUGAAAUCAGUCGAAGAUACCAGCUGGCUGCAACUGUUUAUUAAAAACACAGCACUGUGCAAACACGAAAGUGGACGUAUACGGUGUGACGCCUGCCCGGUGCCGGAAGGUUAAUUGAUGGGGUCAGCGCAAGCGAAGCUCUUGAUCGAAGCCCCGGUAAACGGCGGCCGUAACUAUAACGGUCCUAAGGUAGCGAAAUUCCUUGUCGGGUAAGUUCCGACCUGCACGAAUGGCGUAAUGAUGGCCAGGCUGUCUCCACCCGAGACUCAGUGAAAUUGAACUCGCUGUGAAGAUGCAGUGUACCCGCGGCAAGACGGAAAGACCCCGUGAACCUUUACUAUAGCUUGACACUGAACAUUGAGCCUUGAUGUGUAGGAUAGGUGGGAGGCUUUGAAGUGUGGACGCCAGUCUGCAUGGAGCCGACCUUGAAAUACCACCCUUUAAUGUUUGAUGUUCUAACGUUGACCCGUAAUCCGGGUUGCGGACAGUGUCUGGUGGGUAGUUUGACUGGGGCGGUCUCCUCCUAAAGAGUAACGGAGGAGCACGAAGGUUGGCUAAUCCUGGUCGGACAUCAGGAGGUUAGUGCAAUGGCAUAAGCCAGCUUGACUGCGAGCGUGACGGCGCGAGCAGGUGCGAAAGCAGGUCAUAGUGAUCCGGUGGUUCUGAAUGGAAGGGCCAUCGCUCAACGGAUAAAAGGUACUCCGGGGAUAACAGGCUGAUACCGCCCAAGAGUUCAUAUCGACGGCGGUGUUUGGCACCUCGAUGUCGGCUCAUCACAUCCUGGGGCUGAAGUAGGUCCCAAGGGUAUGGCUGUUCGCCAUUUAAAGUGGUACGCGAGCUGGGUUUAGAACGUCGUGAGACAGUUCGGUCCCUAUCUGCCGUGGGCGCUGGAGAACUGAGGGGGGCUGCUCCUAGUACGAGAGGACCGGAGUGGACGCAUCACUGGUGUUCGGGUUGUCAUGCCAAUGGCACUGCCCGGUAGCUAAAUGCGGAAGAGAUAAGUGCUGAAAGCAUCUAAGCACGAAACUUGCCCCGAGAUGAGUUCUCCCUGACCCUUUAAGGGUCCUGAAGGAACGUUGAAGACGACGACGUUGAUAGGCCGGGUGUGUAAGCGCAGCGAUGCGUUGAGCUAACCGGUACUAAUGAACCGUGAG
rnacentral:rRNA from 1 species